UACGUAGGGUGCAAGCGUUAAUCGGAAUUACUGGGCGUAAAGCGUGCGCAGGCGGUUUUGUAAGUUUGUCGUGAAAUCCCCGGGCUCAACCUGGGAAUUGCGAUGAAGACUGCAAGGCUAGAAUCUGGCAGAGGGGGGUAGAAUUCCACGUGUAGCAGUGAAAUGCGUAGAGAUGUGGAGGAACACCGAUGGCGAAGGCAGCCCCCUGGGCCAAGAUUGACGCUCAUGCACGAAAGCGUGGGGAGCAAACAGG
rnacentral:rRNA from 1 species